UACGUAGGGGGCAAGCGUUGUCCGGAUUUAUUGGGCGUAAAGAGCGUGUAGGCGGCCGUACAGGUCAGCUGUGAAAACUCGAGGCUCAACCUCGAGACGUCGGUUGAAACCGUACGGCUAGAGUCCGGAAGAGGAGAGUGGAAUUCCCGGUGUAGCGGUGAAAUGCGUAGAUAUCAGUCGGAACACCGGUGGCGAAGGCGGCUUCUUGGGCCGUUUCUGACGCUGAGGCGCGAAAGCCAGGGGAGCGAAUGGG
rnacentral:rRNA from 1 species